rnacentral:rRNA from 1 species
AGAGUUUGAUCAUGGCUCAGAACGAACGCUGGCGGCGUGCUUAACACAUGCAAGUCGCGUGCGCAGUUUCCGUAGCAAUACGGGGAUGGGCGCACGGCGCACGGGUGCGUAACACGUGGGCAAUCUGCCCUCCGAUGGGGAAUACCCCCCGCGAAAGCGGGACUAAUUCCGCAUAACAUUCCUUGGAUUAACUUUCGAGGAUUCAAAGCAGCAAUGCGUCGGAGGAGGAGCCCGCGCCCGAUUAGCUAGUUGGUGAGGUAACGGCUCACCAAGGCAAUGAUCGGUAGCUGGUCUGAGAGGAUGGCCAGCCACACUGGAACUGAGACACGGUCCAGACUCCUACGGGAGGCAGCAGUGGGGAAUCUUGCACAAUGGGCGAAAGCCUGAUGCAGCGACGCCGCGUGGGGGAUGAAGCUUUUCGGAGUGUAAACCCCUUUCGACUGGGACGAAUGCCUCGCAAGAGGAGUGACGGUACCAGUAUAAGAAGCCCCGGCUAACUACGUGCCAGCAGCCGCGGUAAGACGUAGGGGGCCAGCGUUGUUCGGAAUUACUGGGUGUAAAGGGUUCGUAGGCGGUGUGGCAAGUCGGGAGUGAAAUCUCUGGGCUCAACCCAGAGACUGCUUCCGAAACUGCUGUGCUUGAGUGUGAGAGAGGCUCGUGGAAUUGCAGGUAGCGGUGAAAUGCGUAGAUAUCUGCAGGAACACCCGUGGCGAAAGCGGCGAGCUGGAUCACUACUGACGCUGAGGAACGAAAGCUAGGGGAGCAAACAGGAUUAGAUACCCUAGUAGUCC